AUGGAUCUUCGGGGUAGGGUGAAAUUCCCAAUCGGCGGUGACGUUCUUGCAAUAAAGAACGAAGCCCGCGACUCGCUGCUCAAGCAUUCCUUGCGCACGCGACUGACUUGGUGCAAUUCCAAGGCCGACGGUUACAGUCCGGAUGAGAGAAGAUCAUC
rnacentral:ncRNA from 2 species